AUAAACCUUUCUUCGAAGUGCACAGUGUACGCACUGGCCUAUCUAUUCCUACCUACAUUUUGUGGUUUUCAUGACGCACACAAAUUAUACAUAAUAUUAUGGCAUCAGUAAAAACUGGUCAUCGGUCGUUAAACAAAAAUGUUCUGGAUCUUGACUAUAUUUAAGUAGAUAUUAAUUAUUAUUUGCGUGUUUGAUCUGCGAUCCAUAACGUUUGCUUUUCUUUUAUAUUGGUCCGCAGAUAGCGUGUCUCAAAGGCAAAUCUUCGACAAGACGAUACAAGCCAAUCAGUUGAACAUCGUGGAAGCCCAUGGUAUCCUUCUGUUCAGGACCGAAAAAGGGCGCGACAGCAAGAUAUACGUGUUCAGACUGUCUGAGUUCGAUGCGGACAUGCAGACGGAAGUAAAAAGCAAACCGGACCUCAAAGAUCAUAAACUAGAACGCACGAGGGGCUGCAGUAUGUACGCGAUUAGUAAGCCCGGUGGUUCGAGGCUCAAAAUGGUAAUCUGUGUGAACCGCAAACUGACGCUGAUGCAGUGGAAACACUCGGCAGCCUGGACAGCUUGGUGCCCAGCCAGCGAUACGGACACAGUCGAAGGGUUCAUGUAUCUGAGGGUAAAUAUAAUAUUGUUCUGCAUAAUACACGUAUAAAUACAGGUAUAAUACUACUGAUAAUAUCGUCGGGACUCGGGUUUCGGAAAAUAACAAGAAUAAGUCAAACAAACUAAUUUAUAUUAAGGUUGUACGCGUUAAUUCGCUUUACGUCUUAUCUUUAUUCAAAUAUAUUUUACUAAUCAUUGGCAUUUAUGUAGAAGUGAAGUUCGUUAGUUAACGAGCGCGAAGUUGUGAUCAAAAUUAAUUCGGGAAGCAAACUUCACAGUUCACACUAGCUCUCUAUCUUUGUCCAAUUCACUCGAUGUACAUAAUUAUUGAUGGCUAAUAUUAAACCAUUGCACGUUUAUAAUUAUAAUUGUUGUAUCUUGUACAACAACUUAGAUUUUAACGGAUAAAGAAAACAUUACUUUUUAAAUACAUUCUUUUAUUUUAAUGACAAGACACAACUCAAACACAUUUUAUCUUCGGUUACUCAAGAGAAAACUAACAUAAUAUAGACUAUAGUAUGACUAUGCGUUAUCAACAACUUCUAACUCAUACAGUGUCACACUUUGUG